GGCUAACGCUGGCGGCGUGUCUUAGCCAUGCAAGUCGAGCGGACUUAUGGGGUAACUUAUAAGUCAGCGGCGGACGGCGGAGUAACACGUAGCUAACCUACCCUCUGGACGGGGAUAACCUACCGAAAGGUGGGCUAAUACCCGAUGUAGUCAUCCUGUAUAGGGGUGAUGAAAGGUGGGCUUCUGUUUACAAGCUCAUGCUGGAGGAGGGGGCUGCGGCCUAUCAGGUAGUUGGUAGGGUAAUAGCCUACCAAGCCGAUGACGGGUAGCCGGCCUGAGAGGGUGACCGGCCCGAGGGGCACUGAGAUACGGGUCCCACUCCUACGGGAGGCAGCAGGCUAGAAAUUUGGGCAAUGGGGGAAACCCUGACCCAGUGACGCCGCGUGCAGGAAGGAGCCCUUCGGGGUGUAAACUGCUGUCGUGUAGGGAGAAGGGUACUAAGGUGAACAAUCUUAGUACUUGACGGUACUACAGGAGGAAGCCCAGGCUAACCUCGUGCCAGCAGCCGCGGUAAAAUGACGUACU
rnacentral:rRNA from 1 species